GUGGUAUUGUAGGAUAAACAGAGAGAAAAAUAAAAUACUUAAGCCAACGUGUGGUCACCUGAUUUAAGACAAUAAUGUCAUUUCAGAAAUAAUGGGAAUCAUCUUCCCCAUGGUUCAAAGUCAUUUGGAUAUUUCCAUGAAAAAUGAUCCUAACAUUACUCACUUAAAGUAAUUUAAAGUUGAUUAUAGUUUUCAACUGGUAAAAUAUAGUUAUUAGUUUUUCAAAACAUAUAAGAAUAUAAUAUGCUUUGGAGUAUGCAAAAGAUUUAACUAGUACACACAAACUGCCAACUAUAAUGAAAUGUAUUGAUAAAUCAGACCAAAUUAAAGACUGCUUGAUCAAUGUCACCAUAAUAAAUUUUAAAUAAAAGCAUAGAACCCAACUUCUAUGUGUAACCAUUAAGAUCUCAAAAAUUAUAAAAAAGCAAGCAUAGUGGGAAGACAUAUUUGCAAUUAAUGUAUCUGAAAAAGAUAUUUCAACAAUAUAGAAGACAGUCUAAUAAGGAAACAGGCAAAUGUCCCAAUUAGAAAAAUAUACAAAAGACUUCAACAAGCACUUCAUAAAAAAUGUAAAUUAAUAGCCAACAAAUUUGUGAAAAUGUGCAUGUUUCAUAAAGCACCAGGGAAAUGCUAAUUAAAAUCACAAUAUGAUAUUAUCACACACUUAGUAGAAUGGUGAAAACUGAAAAGACAACAUCAAAUGUUGACAAGAAUAUGAAGAAACUGGAACUCCCAAAUUUUGCUGGCAUUAUUACUACUUUUGAAAAAUAUUUUACAAUAUUUAAAAAUCUAAAUAUAUAUGCAUGCAUUAAUGCACAAAAAUCCAAAUCUUAUGAGCAUAUUCAACAUGUAUUGUGGUAGAACCAAAAAAAUCUUAAAGCUAGAAAAGCCCCAAUUUUCAGCCACUUCACAAUGUAUAAACUACCAUGGUAUAUACAUACAAAACCAAUGCAUACAAAAAACAUUAGAAUAACAUGACACAGAUCAGUUUUAUUUAAUAGAAUAUUAACUGAAACAAGGUUGACAUAAUAGUAAUACUCUAUAUCUUCAUUUGUUUAAAAGUUCAAGAAAGGCAGAGAUAGCUAUGAUAAUAGAAGUCAGGAUGGUGCUUGCCUUUUGGGGGCAAGUAAAAACAAACAAUGAAAGAAGAAUUCUUGCAUUUUGGUAUUGCUUUAAUUUUUAAUCUAGAAUCCUUUUAUAUUAGUGUAUGCACUUUAAAAUUAAUUGACUUAAGAUUCACUGUGAUAUAUUCAUGUAUGUACAUAUGAAAGCUUGCUUAGAUUCAUUCUACUGUUAUUUCCCCUAUUUGGUCCCUCCAUCUUUCCCUUGGACUACUCUAUUAAUCUUUCCUAUAUUUUGAUGGAAUUCUCCCAAUACCCCAGCCAUCUUGCCAUUAGUUUCCACAUAUCAGAGAAAACAUUCAAACUUUGACUUUCUGGGACAGCUCAGAAGUGAAUUAUACAAAAAUAUUUUCCAUGCAUUUGAUUAUAUAAAAGCAUAUUCUAAUGUUGUAUAUAACUUUAAAUGAGCAUAAAGUACACACAUAUGAAGAAAGAUGACAUUUAGCAAAAAUCUCUACCUUUAAUAAAAAAUGAGUAUACACUGAGUUGUACACAUAUGAUUUGUGAUUUUUUUUACU
rnacentral:lncRNA from 1 species